UACGAAGGGGGCUAGCGUUGCUCGGAAUCACUGGGCGUAAAGCGCACGAAGGCGGAUUGUUAAGUCAGGGGUGAAAUCCUGGAGCUCAACUCCAGAACUGCCUUUGAUACUGGCGAUCUCGAGUCCGGGAGAGGUGAGUGGAACUGCGAGUGUAGAGGUGAAAUUCGUAGAUAUUCGCAAGAACACCAGUGGCGAAGGCGGCUCACUGGCCCGGUACUGACGCUGAGGUGCGAAAGCGUGGGGAGCAAACAGG
rnacentral:rRNA from 1 species